rnacentral:lncRNA from 1 species
UGCUGCUGUAUCAACAUCAAUUGAUUCAACAGAAGCCUCUAUCUCCUGAGAAUGAGAGGACUGAAGACCUUACAGUGGUGCAAGAAAGUUUCACUCCAAGGGGAAUUGGUUCUCUGCCUAGGAUGUUCAGUGGAAUCAUCUGGAGAGGUUUGAAAAUACUGAAGCCAGGCCUUAUCUCCAGAGGGUCUGAUUUAAUCAGCCUGGGCUGCCACAUGGAGACUUACAAUCUCUUCUCAGUUGAUUCUAAUGUACAUCAAGGCUGGGAACCCCUGCUCUAGGGGCGAUUAUCUCCUGGCAGGUGGACAAGCCACAUUCUCACACUUGCCUCUUGCAUUGCCGUCCUGUGUAUGAAAGAACUUAGUCAUUUAUCCUUUGUCUCUGGCCUGUUGGUACCUGCUACAAUGCUUUUGUAAAGAUGAACAUGUUGCCUUUUAAGACUAUAUGACAAAAUAAGAAAUUCUGAAACAGUAAUCUUAACUGUGAGUUACUAAUUUACCUUCUGUCACUCAAUGAAUUGCUUGUUGUGGUUGAGCGUCCUUUAUGAAUAUGCAUGUGAAAGAGAGCCCACUUUGUAUACCACGUGACUGUUUGCUUCCCUUGUUUAUCUUCUGGAUAAUAAGGAGUCCUGAACAUCCAGUACAGCAGUUUGUACCAACAAACACUUAAGAGCUUGUCUUGUGAUUCCUUUGUUCUAGGAUUUCCUUGAACAUCAGACACGGGUGUUGACUGAAGCACCGCCCUUCGAGGACUCAUGCCAGCUCACAGUGUCUAUCCACAAGGCCAGGUAACAGGAGCCUCUUCUCUUUCCACUGCAAAGGAUGUGCCUUCGGAUCAUCUGAAUCAUAAAAAAGAGUCAGAGAGUUCCAGGCACAGACAGAGCUUUUCUCUAAGCUCUCAGCGUGUAACUACUCUACCAAGUUGUUUAACCAUCUCAAUCCAAGAAGAGGAUACAAUCUUUGUAUAAUAGGAGUCCCCAUUCCUCUUUUUCUCUUCAUUGAGAAAAUCCUUAUGUUAAACUGAACCCAUAAUCUGGGUCUUUGACACCCAAGGACAUACUCAGAAUUUAUUUAAUGACUAUGUGAGGUGUUGAGCAAUCAGGUUUAGUCAAUUAGAACAACAACCCACACUGAGAGUAAUAGUCAAGGCUUUAUUCACUUACUGUAAUAGUGCAAGCAAGAGAAGUGCUGGCUUCCUAGGGUUCCAUUUUCAUCAUGGAACAGCAUUGAAAAAUAAAAAUGAAAUCCUAAGCCCCCCAACUGAUGGAACAGACCUCUCCUUGGCCAAGGAGACCCCAGAGAAACCUUGAGCCUGAGUUCCCAACAGUGAUGGGAUGGAAGGGCAGACACACCUCGUUAUGCACCUUCCCUCCCUCACUGACUGCCACUGGGCUUUCCUCCACAAGGGCUUAACAGAAACCAGCCCUUUCAAAGACCCCACCAUGGAUAUCCACCAACAGCCCGACACUGCCCCUCCUUUUUUGCCUGAUAAGUGACCACUGACCCGUGGUUCUGGCCAGUCUACGGAAAUGCACCGUGAGGGUUUUUGUGUCCUCUGUCACACCUUUGGACAUCAGAGGGCUGAAAACUCCACCCUCAGAUGAUACUAAUGCUGACAUUGUUUGAACGUGAGUCCCAUGGAGAGGCAUGAAGCUCCAUUGCACAUGCACAUAUUUUUUCUUUCAUAAAUAUCCAUGACUCCUCCUUGAAUAUGUAUAUUUGACCACCCUGCUCAGCAUGAAUUCCUGUUCCCUUUGCCUCUCCCUCAAAGUGUCUGUUUCUGGCUUCUGGCCAGAGGCUAUGCUUCCCAG